rnacentral:rRNA from 1 species
GUCCACGCUGUAAACGAUGCAUACUAGAUGUAGUCAGAUUCAACCCUGAUUGUGUCGGAGCUAACGCGUUAAGUAUGCCGCCUGGGGAGUACGCUCGCAAGGGUGAAACUCAAAAGAAUUGACGGGGGGCCCGCACAAGCAGUGGAGCAUGUGGUUUAAUUCGAUGCAACGCGAAGAACCUUACCCAGGCUCGAAAUGUAGAGGACGAUAUCUGAAAGGGUAUUUCCCGAAAGGGUCUCUAUAUAGGUGCUGCAUGGCUGUCGU